CAUUUGGAAACUGAAAAUCUGUCAAUAACACCAGCAUUGCUACAGAGCAUAUUGUGUACACUCCUCGGUGUCAACAAGCAGGGCACAUGUUUGCCAGUGUCACCAAAACAUUGGGCGUGUUCCUCGCUGUCAGCAGAAAAGGGGCGAAACCUACUUUUGAUGGACAAAAAGGCUCACUGGAGGACCAGAAGGAGACUUGUCCUCCUGCCAUUCGGAGCUCCCCUAUUGGUGAAUGCGGAAGUUGGGCCAUGAGGUUCUGAAGUUCCUGCCCCUCCCCUCUCUCAAUGAAGAUUGAGCUUCACUCAGACUGCAGCUUCCUUCCUCUGUCCAACAUCUGGCCACCAGAAGCCUUCUCAGUACUCUACAAGUGACUUCACCAACAUCCUGUACACCUUCAACAUGAUGUCCCAACUCCUUUAUUCAAUGGUGUGAACAAUUAAGCUACCCGAUGAAGGAGCAGCGCACCGAAAGCUAGUGCUUCCAAAUAAAUCUUUUGGACGAUAACCCACUGUUGUGAUUUUUCAACCUUGUCCCACCUAGUCCAACAGCAGCACCUCCACCUCCUUUCUAAUGAACACAGCCCAUACCUCCCGGUGCUGCCAGUAAACUGCCGAUGAAAUGAUGCAGUGCCUGCACUCCUGAAAAGUUUAUAAUUUCUAACGAAACCAGCUACUCAUUCACUGCUCCAUCUGGUACACGACUUUGGAAACUUAGUGCAGGAGGCUGCAAGAAAUGAGCAGCUUUAAAACAAAAACCGCUUGGAGCUUUCAAUGAGAGCCUGAGCCCAGCAGUACGUUCUGGUUACCUUUAUUGUGGCCCAACAUUGUUACAGCUGCAGAUGCCCCCAGCAAAAGGGCAGAGAAAGAGUAGCUGUGUUUUAGACAGCUCAACAACAGGGGGAGGUGCAAGGGGCAGGGCAAGGCCAACAGCAGGCCCCCGCACUACGCCUGCGUUGCCUUGCACAGUUUACAAAAAUCCCUUCCCCUUCAGAGACUCCCCACAGUGUGGAAGCUGGCCACUCGACCCAAAGACUACACACCGAUCCUCCAAAGGGUAACCCACCAUGCAAUUCCCCUACCCCUAUUGCUCAACAUUUACCCCUGACUAAUGCACCUAACCUGCACAUCCCUGGGCACUAUGGGUAUUUCAGUACUGUCAAUCCACCUGAACCUGGACAACUCGUAUAUGCCAACCAGAUAUCCCAACCCAAUCUAGUCCCACCUGCCAGCACGGGGCCCAUAUCCCCCCAGUUGCCUUUUAAAUGUUGCAAUUGUAUCAGCCUCCACCACUUCCUCUGGCAGCUCAUUCCAUACACGUACCACCCUCUAAAUGAGAAGGUUGCCCCUUAGGUCUCUUUCAUAUCUUUCCCCUCUCACCCUAAACCUAUGCCCUGUAGUUCUGGACUCUCCCAUCCCAUAGAAAAGACUUUGUCUAUCUAUCCUAUCCAUGCCCCUCAUGAUUUUAUAAACCUCUAUAAGGUCACCCCUCAGCCUCUGACGCUCCAGGGAAAAUAGCCCCAGCCUGUUCUGUCUCUCCCUAUAGCUCAAAUCCUCCAGUCUUGGCGACAUCCUUGUAAAUCUUUUUAGAUUAGAUUAGAUUACUUAGUGUGGAAACAGGCCCUUCGGCCCAACAAGUCCACACCGACCUGCCGACGCGUAUAUCACCCAGACCCAUACUCCGGGGGUUUGCAAGGACUGCCACAAACACUACGUAGGACAAACAGGAAGAAAGUUAGCCACCAGGAUACACGAACACCAGCUAGCCACAAAAAGACACGACUUUCUAUCCCUCGUAGCCCAACAUACGGAUGAAAGAAAACACCACUUCGACUGGGACAACAUCUAUCCUGGGACAGGCUAAGCAAAGACAUGCCAGAGAAUUCCUAGAGGCCUGGCACUCCAAUCACAACACCAUAAACAAACACAUAGAUCUAGAUACCAUCUAUCAACCCCUCAGAAAAUGAACAGGAAAUGACAUCACCACAAACCCCAGGAACCCUAUCCAGGCCAAACAUAUAAAUCGAAAGCAGGAGACAACAGCUUCGCUUCAUUUGGAGGUCGCCACUGAUGAUGUUCCCGAGCCAGGUAAUGAAACGUCUGGAUAUCAAACCUACAGCUCAGCGAGCAAACCUACACCCUAAUCCUCAACCUGAGCUACAAACCUUGCAAAGUAGAAUGUAUUUGCAAACAUCAUGCUGCAAAUACAAACCCACCCCCAUGGAUGAUCUAUCUCGUGUGUGCAUGAGAUAGAGAAACAGUCUAUUUCCGUGCUGUUUAUCUCUAUUUGAUAACCGUUGCUUUAUUUCUGUUGGUGUAAAUGUUGUUGUAAUUCAUAGCUGGAUCCUCAUAGGUGUAAGGGUGACAGAAUUCCUCAAGUAGGGCACUGGAAGAUUCCUGGGAGACCCCUAUUUCUGGUUUACUUCCUCAUGAACAAACAUUAAGCACGUGUACCUAUUUAUUUACGAUUUUGUUUUAUUUUUCUUGUUUGAUUCCCUGCUAUGACUACACCUUGUAUUAGGAUAGUUGACAGGCUGGGAGAUUGUGGCUUGGGUCUUGAUUGAAUAUUUUAUCGUUCCAGAAGUUAUAAAAGGCGGGGUCAAAGCUUUAGCAGAAAUCCAGCAGAGCUGAGAACAGACCGACAUCUUAGUCUGUGGGAACAGGGAGAUCAACAGAGGAUAGAGAAAUCAGGUCCUGAAACCAGACCACCCUGUGAUCAGUGCUUUGAUUAGAGGCAUCCUUCUACAUCAGUCAAUGCCAGUUGUCAGACAGGUGCAGCAAGGCAAGUGGUAUAUUAGCAGGCUGAACUGAGAUUAGAAGUGGGGAUGUCUUCCUGCAGUUAGGGAGUCAUUGAAUUUAUUCAAGGCUGAGUUCAUCUGAUUUUUGAACAACAAAGUGUGGAUUUUUAUGUUGUGUGGAUGAGGUGUGUUUUUUUGUGGUUUAUGUUUUGGAUACAGGAAGAGUAGACAUUUUUAAAGUGGAAGGCAAGAAAAUGGUUUUAAGACCACGACAGAACAGUUACGGUCAGACAGCACAGAAACAGACCCUUCAGUCCAACUAUUCCAUGCUGACUAUGUUCUCAAACUAAACUAGUGCCACUUGCCAGUGUUUGGCCCAUAUACCUCCACACCUUCCCUAUUCAUGUACUUAUCCACAUGUCUUUUAAACUUUGCAUCUGAACAUGUAUCCACCACUUCCUCUUUACAUUCACUCAAUACAUGAAACACUCUGUUAUAAACAAACUUUUCCCAAUUCUGUCCAUUCCAUGGAUUCAUUCUCUUUCCUUUCAGUUGCUGCAAGUCAUAAAUUGAAGCCCAGAAUGAAAUAAAUGGAAAAGGAGUUGUGAAGAGAGUACCCUACUCACAGAUGGUUGACACAGUAAGGAGGGUGGAGUCUGGAGCAAACCCGAAAUGUCGAUUUUCCUGCUCCUCGGACGCUGCCUGACCUGCAGUACUUUGCCAGCACCACUCUAAUCUUGACCCUGAUCUCCAGCAUCUGCAGUUCUAACUUUCUCCUGUAAGAAAUCAGCAGUUUUAAACCAAAAACCUGUUGCAGUUUAAAGCUCUCAUUGAGAGUAUGAGCUCAGUGUGAAGUUCAGGUAAUCUUUAUUGUGACCCAACUUUGUUACAGCUUCAGAAUCUCCCAGCAGAAAGGUGUAGAAAAAGUAGCAUUUUUUUCAAAACAGCUCAAGGUCAAAGUGCAACUCCUCACUUUCUUCAUUAUUGGUCACCACUGAGUUGUCCCUUUGUAAUUGGAUCCUUGGUGUAGCCUUAAUCUGGAGGAAGUAUUGCCUCACUCAGCAAUUUCAACCUGUAUCCAAGUAAGUUGGAUGAGCAGCAUAGAGUCAACCAGACUAU